rnacentral:rRNA from 1 species
CUGGGUUUGACAUGCACAGGACGCCGGUAGAGAUAUCGGUUCCCUUGUGGUCUGUGUGCAGGUGGUGCAUGGCUGUCGUCAGCUCGUGUCGUGAGAUGUUGGGUUAAGUCCCGCAACGAGCGCAACCCUUGUCUCAUGUUGCCAGCGCGUUAUGGCGGGGACUCGUGAGAGACUGCCGGGGUCAACUCGGAGGAAGGUGGGGAUGACGUCAAGUCAUCAUGCCCCUUAUGUCCAGGGCUUCACACAUGCUACAAUGGCCGGUACAAAGGGCUGCGAUGCCGUGAGGCUUAGCGAAUCCUUUAAAGCCGGUCUCAGUUCGGAUCGGGGUCUGCAACUCGACCCCGUGAAGUCGGAGUCGCUAGUAAUCGCAGAUCAGCAACGCUGCGGUGAAUACGUUCCC